UACGGAGGGUGCAAGCGUUGUCCGGAUUUAUUGGGUUUAAAGGGUGCGUAGGCGGCCCUGUAAGUCAGUGGUGAAAUUCUUGAGCUUAACUGAAGGAUUGCCAUUGAUACUGUAGGGCUUGAGUACAGAUGAGGUAGGCGGAAUUGAUGGUGUAGCGGUGAAAUGCAUAGAUACCAUCAAGAACACCGAUUGCGAAGGCAGCUUACUAAGCUGUAGCUGACGCUGAUGCACGAAAGCGUGGGGACCGAACAGG
rnacentral:rRNA from 1 species